GUGGUGGUGGUGGGGUGACAGGAAAGAAUAAAAAGCUCAGCAGCUCAACACAGAGAAGCACCUCCCCUCCCACGGUGAAGGUGUAAAGCAGAAGGCUGGCCAAGGACCAAGGUCCCAGCAAAUGAUGCUGGGAGAAGGCACGCGUCUGAGAGUACACAAGUUCCUGCUGAACCAACUGUGUCCCCAGUUCUUGCUUCAAGAAAAUGUGAAACUCUGCACGAGGAUGCUAGCACGUACGAUUCCUGGCUUCUUGGGAAAUCUCACGCACAAAACUGCCUUUCUCCUCUGCACUGACCGAAUCCACAGUGAGACACCGUGAGGGACAAACUCAGGGAUCGAACUUGGGUCCUUGCACUUGCGCAGCAGGCGGCGAAACCACUAAGCUAAAUCCCCGGCCCAGAUGAAUUCUUAAGAAGUGCUUCAAAAUGUACAUGUCAAGUGGGUUUUUCUUUGCUUUUUUCUUGUUUGGUACUAGGGGAUUGAAUCCAGGGCCUUCCUAUUGAGCUACAUCUCCACCCUUCAAAAUAAUUUUUAAGUUUUGAGACAGCAUCUCACUAAAUUGUUAAAUUGCCUAGGCUGAUCUUGAACUUGUAAUCCUCCUGCCUCAGCCUCCUAGAGUGCUGCAAUCACAGGCAUGUGCCACCUUGCCCAGCUAACUAACUCUUUCUUAACAGACUCCUUAACUUACUUUCUAAAUCUGACUUACAACUAACAGGCAGAUCAUCCUAUAUAUAAUUAUUUCAUUUUACAGGUGAAAUUUGGAGGAAGGAUGGGAGAAAAAAGGAAAGAUUUCCAUUUCCUUUUAUUUAAAUUUGCAAUUCAUUUCUAU
rnacentral:lncRNA from 1 species